GGAGGGGUGCAAGCGUUGUUCGGAAUUAUUGGGCGUAAAGAGCGUGUAGGCGGUCCGGUAAGUCAGAUGUGAAAGCCCUGGGCUCAACCCAGGAAGUGCAUUUGAAACUACCAGACUUGAGUACGGGAGAGGAGGGGGGAAUUCCCGGUGUAGAGGUGAAAUUCGUAGAUAUCGGGAGGAAUACCAGUGGCGAAGGCGCCCCUCUGGACCGAUACUGACGCUGAGACGCGAAAGCGUGGGGAGCAAACAGGAUUAGAUACCCUGGUAGUCCACGCCGUAAACGAUGAGCACUAGGUGUAGCGGGUAUUGACCCCUGCUGUGCCGUAGCUAACGCAUUAAGUGCUCCGCCUGGGGACUACGGUCGCAAAGACUA
rnacentral:rRNA from 1 species